UAAGCGACUAAGCGUACACGGUGGAUGCCCUGGCAGUCAGAGGCGAUGAAGGACGUGCUAAUCUGCGAUAAGCGUCGGUAAGGUGAUAUGAACCGUUAUAACCGGCGAUUUCCGAAUGGGGAAACCCAGUGUGAUUCGUCACACUAUCAUUAACUGAAUCCAUAGGUUAAUGAGGCGAACCGGGGGAACUGAAACAUCUAAGUACCCCGAGGAAAAGAAAUCAACCGAGAUUCCCCCAGUAGCGGCGAGCGAACGGGGAGCAGCCCAGAGCCUGAAUCAGUGUGUGUGUUAGUGGAAGCGUCUGGAAAGGCGCGCGAUACAGGGUGACAGCCCCGUACACAAAAAUGCACAUACUGUGAGCUCGAUGAGUAGGGCGGGACACGUGGUAUCCUGUCUGAAUAUGGGGGGACCAUCCUCCAAGGCUAAAUACUCCUGACUGACCGAUAGUGAACCAGUACCGUGAGGGAAAGGCGAAAAGAACCCCGGCGAGGGGAGUGAAAAAGAACCUGAAACCGUGUACGUACAAGCAGUGGGAGCCUCUUUAUGGGGUGACUGCGUACCUUUUGUAUAAUGGGUCAGCGACUUAUAUUCUGUAGCAAGGUUAACCGAAUAGGGGAGCCGAAGGGAAACCGAGUCUUAACUGGGCGUUAAGUUGCAGGGUAUAGACCCGAAACCCGGUGAUCUAGCCAUGGGCAGGUUGAAGGUUGGGUAACACUAACUGGAGGACCGAACCGACUAAUGUUGAAAAAUUAGCGGAUGACUUGUGGCUGGGGGUGAAAGGCCAAUCAAACCGGGAGAUAGCUGGUUCUCCCCGAAAGCUAUUUAGGUAGCGCCUCGUGAAUUCAUCUCCGGGGGUAGAGCACUGUUUCGGCAAGGGGGUCAUCCCGACUUACCAACCCGAUGCAAACUGCGAAUACCGGAGAAUGUUAUCACGGGAGACACACGGCGGGUGCUAACGUCCGUCGUGAAGAGGGAAACAACCCAGACCGCCAGCUAAGGUCCCAAAGUCAUGGUUAAGUGGGAAACGAUGUGGGAAGGCCCAGACAGCCAGGAUGUUGGCUUAGAAGCAGCCAUCAUUUAAAGAAAGCGUAAUAGCUCACUGGUCGAGUCGGCCUGCGCGGAAGAUGUAACGGGGCUAAACCAUGCACCGAAGCUGCGGCAGCGACACUAUGUGUUGUUGGGUAGGGGAGCGUUCUGUAAGCCUGUGAAGGUGUGCUGUGAGGUAUGCUGGAGGUAUCAGAAGUGCGAAUGCUGACAUAAGUAACGAUAAAGCGGGUGAAAAGCCCGCUCGCCGGAAGACCAAGGGUUCCUGUCCAACGUUAAUCGGGGCAGGGUGAGUCGACCCCUAAGGCGAGGCCGAAAGGCGUAGUCGAUGGGAAACAGGUUAAUAUUCCUGUACUUGGUGUUACUGCGAAGGGGGGACGGAGAAGGCUAUGUUGGCCGGGCGACGGUUGUCCCGGUUUAAGCGUGUAGGCUGGUUUUCCAGGCAAAUCCGGAAAAUCAAGGCUGAGGCGUGAUGACGAGGCACUACGGUGCUGAAGCAACAAAUGCCCUGCUUCCAGGAAAAGCCUCUAAGCAUCAGGUAACAUCAAAUCGUACCCCAAACCGACACAGGUGGUCAGGUAGAGAAUACCAAGGCGCUUGAGAGAACUCGGGUGAAGGAACUAGGCAAAAUGGUGCCGUAACUUCGGGAGAAGGCACGCUGAUAUGUAGGUGAAGUCCCUUGCGGAUGGAGCUGAAAUCAGUCGAAGAUACCAGCUGGCUGCAACUGUUUAUUAAAAACACAGCACUGUGCAAACACGAAAGUGGACGUAUACGGUGUGACGCCUGCCCGGUGCCGGAAGGUUAAUUGAUGGGGUUAGCGGUAACGCGAAGCUCUUGAUCGAAGCCCCGGUAAACGGCGGCCGUAACUAUAACGGUCCUAAGGUAGCGAAAUUCCUUGUCGGGUAAGUUCCGACCUGCACGAAUGGCGUAAUGAUGGCCAGGCUGUCUCCACCCGAGACUCAGUGAAAUUGAACUCGCUGUGAAGAUGCAGUGUACCCGCGGCAAGACGGAAAGACCCCGUGAACCUUUACUAUAGCUUGACACUGAACAUUGAGCCUUGAUGUGUAGGAUAGGUGGGAGGCUUUGAAGUGUGGACGCCAGUCUGCAUGGAGCCGACCUUGAAAUACCACCCUUUAAUGUUUGAUGUUCUAACGUUGGCCCCUGAUCGGGGUUGCGGACAGUGUCUGGUGGGUAGUUUGACUGGGGCGGUCUCCUCCUAAAGAGUAACGGAGGAGCACGAAGGUUGGCUAAUCCUGGUCGGACAUCAGGAGGUUAGUGCAAUGGCAUAAGCCAGCUUGACUGCGAGCGUGACGGCGCGAGCAGGUGCGAAAGCAGGUCAUAGUGAUCCGGUGGUUCUGAAUGGAAGGGCCAUCGCUCAACGGAUAAAAGGUACUCCGGGGAUAACAGGCUGAUACCGCCCAAGAGUUCAUAUCGACGGCGGUGUUUGGCACCUCGAUGUCGGCUCAUCACAUCCUGGGGCUGAAGUAGGUCCCAAGGGUAUGGCUGUUCGCCAUUUAAAGUGGUACGCGAGCUGGGUUUAGAACGUCGUGAGACAGUUCGGUCCCUAUCUGCCGUGGGCGCUGGAGAACUGAGGGGGGCUGCUCCUAGUACGAGAGGACCGGAGUGGACGCAUCACUGGUGUUCGGGUUGUCAUGCCAAUGGCACUGCCCGGUAGCUAAAUGCGGAAGAGAUAAGUGCUGAAAGCAUCUAAGCACGAAACUUGCCCCGAGAUGAGUUCUCCCUGACCCUUUAAGGGUCCUGAAGGAACGUUGAAGACGACGACGUUGAUAGGCCGGGUGUGUAAGCGCAGCGAUGCGUUGAGCUAACCGGUACUAAUGAACCGUGAGGCUUAACCU
rnacentral:rRNA from 1 species